rnacentral:misc_RNA from 1 species
AAGUAUGAAUAAUCUUAAGAGUACAAUUCGUUCAGAAAAGACGUCUAUAACUAAUAUGGAAGAAAAUGUUGACAGUAAAACAUCUCUGUCUUCUUUUAUAGCCGUUGAGAUUGUUAAUAUGAAAAACACUUCAAAUACAGUUGAGACUGAGGAAUCGCGAAAUAUCUCGUCAAAAGAAUGUGAAGGAAGCACUGACUACGGGGUAAAUGACAUGUCUUCCGGUGCAUCAUCUAUCUGCAGGAAAGCCGAUUCCAACGACGGUGUUCAACUGAUUAAUGAUUUCCAUCAUUCAGAGUUCGUUAAGAAAGAGAGAGAACAAUUGCUAGCUGAG